UUGGUUAAGUUAGAAAGGGCGCACGGUGGAUGCCUUGGCACUAGGAGCCGAAGAAGGACGGGACUAACACCGAUAUGCUUUGGGGAGCUGUACGUAAGCGUUGAUCCAGAGAUUUCCGAAUGGGGGAACCCACUAUCUUUAGUCGGAUAGUAUCCUUACGUGAAUACAUAGCGUGAGGAAGGCAGACCCAGGGAACUGAAACAUCUAAGUACCUGGAGGAAGAGAAAGAAAAAUCGAUUUCCUGAGUAGCGGCGAGCGAAACGGAAAGAGCCCAAACCAAGAAGCUUGCUUCUUGGGGUUGUAGGACACUCUAUACGGAGUUACAAAAGAAAGUUAUAAAUGAAGCGGUCUGGAAAGGCCCGCCAAAGACGGUAACAGCCCGGUAGUUGAAAUGGCUUUCCCUCCAGAGUGGAUCCUGAGUACGGCGGAACACGUGAAAUUCCGUCGGAAUCCGGGAGGACCAUCUCCCAAGGCUAAAUACUCCCUAGUGACCGAUAGUGAACCAGUACCGUGAGGGAAAGGUGAAAAGCACCCCGGAAGGGGAGUGAAACAGUUCCUGAAACCGUGUGCCUACAAGUAGUUAGAGCCCGUUAAUGGGUGAUAGCGUGCCUUUUGUAGAAUGAACCGGCGAGUUACGAUUUGUUGCAAGGUUAAGCGGAAAAAGCGGAGCCGUAGCGAAAGCGAGUCUGAAUAGGGCGCAUAAGUAACAGGUCGUAGACCCGAAACCAGGUGAUCUACCCAUGUCCAGGAUGAAGGUAAGGUAAUACUUACUGGAGGUCCGAACCCACGCACGUUGAAAAGUGCGGGGAUGAGGUGUGGGUAGCGGAGAAAUUCCAAUCGAACUUGGAGAUAGCUGGUUCUCUCCGAAAUAGCUUUAGGGCUAGCCUCGAGGUAAAGAGUCAUGGAGGUAGAGCACUGUUUGGACUAGGGGCCCUUCUCGGGUUACCGAAUUCAGAUAAACUCCGAAUGCCAUGUACUUAUACUCGGGAGUCAGACUGCGAGUGAUAAGAUCCGUAGUCGAAAGGGAAACAGCCCAGACCACCAGUUAAGGUCCCCAAAUAUAUGUUAAGUGGAAAAGGAUGUGGGGUUGCUUAGACAACCAGGAUGUUGGCUUAGAAGCAGCCACCAUUGAAAGAGUGCGUAAUAGCUCACUGGUCGAGUGACCCCGCGC
rnacentral:rRNA from 1 species